GGCGAACGGGUGAGUAACACGUGGGUGAUCUGCCCUGCACUUCGGGAUAAGCCUGGGAAACUGGGUCUAAUACCGGAUAGGACGAUGGUUUGGAUGCCAUUGUGGAAAGUUUUUCGGUGUGGGAUGAGCUCGCGGCCUAUCAGCUUGUUGGUGGGGUAAUGGCCUACCAAGGCGUCGACGGGUAGCCGGCCUGAGAGGGUGUACGGCCACAUUGGGACUGAUAUACGGCCCAG
rnacentral:rRNA from 1 species